rnacentral:rRNA from 1 species
GGGCUACACGCGGGCUACAAUGGGUGGGACAAUGGGUAUCGACACCGAAAGGUGAAGGCAAUCUCCUAAACCCAUCCGUAGUUCGGAUUGUGGGCUGCAACUCGCCCACAUGAAGCUGGAAUCUGUAGUAAUCGUGUCUCAAAAUGGCACGGUGAAUAUGUCCCUGGCUCCUU